AUGAAAAUCCUUCUCGAAUAUAAAGAAAAGAGAUAUGAGGAGUCUGCAAGAGUCAAGCUAGCGGAGAUAAGCUUUGAGGACGACUCUUUCGGAAGGAAGGACCAACAAAGUCAAGAACUGGAAAACAUAGAAAAGG